GUCCGGACCGCAGCAGUUCGGGCUGGACAGCAGCAGCUACCCAGAACCUCCGAAGGCCGCUCAUCUUUAUGACACCAAAGGGAGCGACACCAACCUCUUCAACCUAGACUCGUACCCGGACUUCACCUGGUGGAGCUCCUCCUACCCCCACGACGGACCGGACCAAACCGGGUACCUGGAGCCCC